GCCGGAGUGGCGGAACUGGCAGACGCGCCGGACUCAAAAUCCGGUACGACCAAAAUCGUGUGCGGGUUCGACCCCCGCCUCCGGCACCA
rnacentral:tRNA from 1 species